UGAACACCGUCAUCAUCAUCAUAAUUUAGUUGGACUACGUAUCUUUCUGGGCGAAGAAACACUUAAUUCUACAGAUUUUCUGCAAAACUGAUAUUGAAGUGUACACGUCAUGGGCAAUGAACCACAAAAUGGCGGAGUCGAUUAGCAAGCUCAACUGGCAGUUGAGUGUUGGGCGGAUACUGAAGUGAACACGUCAUGUGUCAUGGGCAAUUAACCACAAAAUGGCGGAGUGAAAUUAAGAAGCUCAACUGGCAGACUGGAGUACUGAAGUGAACACGUCAUGGGCAAUGAACGACAAAAUGGCGGAGUGAAUUAGCAAGCUCAACUGUUGGGUUGUAACUCCUUACGGAUGGCUGAGGAGUGAAAAGGUCUUGAAUAGAUACCAUUUGGUAAACACGCUGGACCUGACCUGGUGGACUUGGUAAACCUGGUGGGAAUCAAGCUGACGGUGGACCUAAUAAUCCUUGCGGGAUUCAAGCUGACGGUAGACCUGGUACUCCUGGUGGGAUUCAAGUUGACGGUGGACCUGGUAAUCCUUGUGGGAUUCAAGUUGACGGUGGACCUGGUAAUCCUUGUGGGAUUUAAGCUGACGGUGGACCUGGUAAUCCUUGUGGGAUUCAAGCUGACGAUGGACCUGGUAAUCCUUGUGGGAUUCGAGCUGACCUUGUGAUCCUGGUACUCCUGGUGGGAUUCAAGCUGACAGAGGAUCUGGUACUUCUGGUGGGAUUCGAGCUGACCUUAUGGACCUGGUACUCCUGGUGGGUCGAGCUGACGGAGGACCUGGUACUCCUGGUGGGAUUCGAGCUGACCUUGUGGACCUGGUACUCCUGGUGGGAUUCAAGCUGAAAUGGUAGACCUGGUAGUCCUGGUGGGAUUCAAGCUGACCUGACCUGUUGGACCUGGUAAUCCUGUACGGAUUCCAAGCGACCUUCGGUUCCUUUGUUACCGUGUGGAGGAAGUUUUAUGCUGACUUUUUAAGGAUAAUUAUGACGAUUUUUUAAUUAUUUUAAACAUACCUACUUGUUAAUCUUUUCCACUACAUACAUUGUUAGAUAGUGCCGUGCGGUUACGGCCGUAAAGAAUACUAUUCCCCACUGCCAAUAGGUAUUAAUGUAGCACGAGAUGGCAAUUAAAAAUACAA